UACAGAGGGUGCGAGCGUUAAUCGGAGUGACUGGGCGUAAAGGGCGCGUAGGCGGUUAUACAAGUGAGGUGUGAAAUCCCUGGGCUCAACCUAGGAAUUGCACCUUAGACUGUAAGACUAGAGUGCAGUAGAGGGUAGUGGAAUUUCCGGUGUAGCGGUGAAAUGCGCAGACAUCAGGAGGAACACCGGUGGCGAAGGCGGGUCUCUGGGCCGAUACUGACGCUGAGGAGCGAAAGCGUGGGGAGCGAACAGG
rnacentral:rRNA from 1 species